AGGAUUGAACUCAGGGCCUCAUGCCUGUGAGGCAAGCACUUUAUCACUGAGCCACAACCCAAGCCCAGUAAGUAUUUUUUAUUUUAUUUUAUUAUUUUUUGUGUGUGUUUUAUUAGCUACACAUGACAUUACAAUGAUCUUGGCAAUUCAUAUAUUUGAAUCAAUUGGGGUAUAAAUUCUCAUUUUUCUGAUUGUACAGAUUGCAGAAUCACACUGGUCAUAGAGUCAUCUAUAUACAUACAGCAAUCAUAAUGUCUAUUCUAUUCUGCUGCCCUUACUCUCCCCCCUAGUAAGUAUUUUUAAAAAAAUAUUUUUUAGUUAUAGGUGGACACAAUACUUUUAUUUAAUUUUUAUGUGGUGCCGGGGAUUGAACCCAGUGCCUCACGCAUGCUAGGCAAGCACUCUACCACUGAGCUACAACCCCAGCCCCAGUAUUUUUUUUAAUAUGUUUUUUUAGUUGUAGCUGGACACAAUACCUUUAUUUUAUUUUAAAUAUUUUAUUUUAGUUGUAGAUGGACACAAUGUCUUUAUUUUUUAUGUGGUGCUGAGGAUUGAACCCAGUAUCUCAUACAUGCAAGAUAAGUGCUCAAUCAUUGAACCACACCCCAGCCUGAUAUCUUUAUUUAUUUAUUUUUAUGUGGGGCUGAGGAUCAAACCCAGCACCUUGCACGUGCUAGGCGAGCGCUCUACCACUGAGCCACAAUCCCAGCCCCCCCCCCCCAGAACAGUAACUAUUGCAUUUAGUUGUCACAUCUCUUUAGUCCCCUUCAAUCUAGGAGAGUUCCCCCAUCUUUUAUUGACUUGCAUAAUUUUAACACUUGAGCACUGCAGACUCAGUUGUUUACAGAAUGCCCCUCCAUCUGAGUUUUUGGAUGCUUCCUCACGCUUGGAUGAAGGUUUCUUCUCUCUGGAAGGACCAGCAUAGAAGUGAUGCUUUAGGGCUUCCUACCAGGUACUCAUGAUGUCCCUCUGCUCCACCUGUGAUGUCAUUUCCAACACUCAAUUAAGGUAGAGUCUGCCAGGCUUCUCCCCAUGAAGUCAUUUUCCCUGUGUUAUUGUUAAGUAUUUUGUGGGGAGGUACUUUGAAACUAUGUAAAUAUCCCAUUAUUCAUCAAAUAAGUAAUUACAGUGAAUAAUUAAUUAUAGAUGUAAUUAUUAAUAUGACUACAACUAACAAAUAUAAUUACUAUAUGUUUAGCCUCACACCGUUUCCUAUUUUAUUUAAUGGACUGUAAUGGGUUAUAAUCUAUUUAUUAUCAAUAUGUUAUUUAUUUUAUGCUCACAUUAUACCAGGUUUGGUCAGUGGCAGCCCCUCAAAUUGGCUUCUGUGUUCUUUUGCCAUGUCUCCCUCAUUCUUUGGACAGGUGCCUCGCCUUGCCCAGCCCUCCCUGUGGCCUGUGGCCUACUCUGGCAGGGAAGGGAGGAGUCUAGGAAGGCUUCCAAUGGCACCAAAUAUUCUAGACAGUGGUGCUAGUUGUUUGUGAAACUUAGAAACCCAAGAUUCAGCCUGUGGCAUGAGCUCACUUAGACUAUCCCCUCAGGACCAGGCUUUCUAGUUGGGGUCAUCUGUUACCUUGAGUGUGCUUCUUAGAAAAACAAAACCACUGAGGGGACCCAAGAAAGAAAUGGGCCCAUGGUGUCUCCUGUGCCUUCAUGCUGGACCCAGGAUGGGUUAAAUUUGAAUGUUACCCCCAGCUUCAGGACUGGCCAGGAAAUUUCCCAUAUCUUCCCCCUGGUUAUUCAUGCUUACUAAAAGCAGGCGCUGCCAGUGCCUUCCGGCCUGAAUCAUUCCUGCAUCUCAGGCUGUCCAGAGCACCAAGACCCAGCAUGGGCCCCAGCAGGCAGCAGACUGUGAGGCUGUGCUAUUUUUGGGCUUCCUUUUAGACCCCCUGAUAGUUUUGCUUUCUGGAAUAUUGUUUCUUUUUCCUACAGGAGACAGAUUCUAAGAAACAUCUCAGGAAGCCCUGGCACUGAUAAUCACGGAGUAUCUGUGUAAUAUAGUCCCAGAGGUCACCUGGGGUCGUGGUCCAUUUACCAAGAGACUAAAAGAGCUCAAAAUUUUAGGGCCCCUCACUUGCAUGGGCCACAUCCAAAAUCAGGGCAUUUGGUAGUCACAGUUUCGUAGUCUAUCUUAAAGAAGGGCUCCCCAAUUGCUUGAGUUCUUCACAUGGGCCUGCCCUGGAUCUACUGUCACAUAUGACAGGAUUCCUGGGCUCAAAGUACCCCAGAGUGGUGAGAAAGGAAGGACAGGAUCCCCUGGGGGAAGGCAGUUCAGUGCCAUGGUAAAGAGUGAGGCUGCCUGGGUACACAUCUCAGAGGUGACACUCAGAUUCCAGAGGCUGCCUACCUGCCCUCCAGUGGAACCUACCUCACAGGGUUGAAGGGAGGAUUAAAUAGGUCCACAGACAGAUACGUGGAUAUGCAUAGAGUGAGUCCUUGAAAUAGCACUUAGAGGUCUUCUCUUUCCCUUUCUCUUUAUGAAGUGCUGCCGUAAAGGACAAGCACCCUGGAGAGUCUUGGUCUCCUCGUUCUGUAACACCAAGGAAUGUUCCUGGCUUCUCUGGCUUUUCUAGUCAAGGUUGAAGGCUCGUGAAGGUUUCAGAACAUUGGGUUUCAGGGUCAGGUUGCUGGGCUGAGUUGCCAGGAAGUGGCUGGCCUUGACCACUGCAUCCGAGUAUCUGCAAGUGGGCAGCAGGAAGUGAAAAGCCUGAGACCUGGCUCUGAACUGCCUCCUGGCCCUGUCCCCAUGGACAGGAAACGAGGCUGGGAGGAUUGGGACAGAAUCAGCUUUGGAGUUGCUGGCUGGGAUGGUGGGUGACAUGAGCUGGCCACAGACUCCAGUCUCUGGGGAGACUCACCUGGGAGGCUCUGCACUGGAGGCUUAGGAACUCCAGGCCUCCUAUAGGAGAUGGCAAGGUGGGGGAUUUUGACCCCCUACUGCCACCAGUCUUUCUUUCUCUUCCCUAUGUCAGAAAGCUGGGGGCCAAGUCAGGCAUAGUGGUACACACUUGUAAUCCUAGUGACUCAGGUGGCUGAGGCAGGAGGAUUGCAAGUUCAAAGCCAGCCUCAGCAAUUUAGCAAGGCUCUAAGAAACUUAGCAAGACCCUGUCUCAAAAUAAAACAAAAAAAGGGCUGGGGAUGUGGCUCAGUGGUUGAGUGCCUCUGGGUUCAAUCCCCGAUACUAAAAAAGAAAAAAGAAAGCUGGGGGCCAAAUCACUUGCAUUUCAGGUGUAUUUUUUUUUCUUCUUUCCAUCCAGCUCUGUGAGACCAAAAUGAAUAACAGACACCAUCAGUUGUCAGAGAAGGUGGGUUCCCUUGUCCCCCUAGAGAAGGCCAACCUGCCUAGCUCAGCUCCUCCCUGGACAGCAUUUUCCCUGUGCCUGCCUCUCCUCAUUCCAACUUCCCAGGUAUGCUACCAUCUUCCCUUCCUCCUAUACCCCUGUCCUCUCCCUUCUGAUGGCCUCACUAUUCACCAGCCAGCCUUCCCAGCCCCAUUCCCUCUUCAGCCAGGGUCCUGGGGACCUGGAGAGCCAUGACUCUUCAACUAUUAUAAGGAAUCCAUAUAACUUAUACCCCAAGUGUGGUGUUUCUAAAACAAUAGUAUAAACUAGGACUGUCCUGGCCAAGCAAGGCUAUGUGGCCAAGCUAGGAAAACACAGUCACCAGCUAAUGUCAUACUCCCCAUUUACUCAGCCCUUGCUACCCCCUGGCUCUGCACUGUGUUUCAUGUUCUUUCCAGAAUAACUCACUCCAGUGUAAUCCUUUUACUUGGAUCAGGCAGACCCCCAACCCUCAUCUUCUCUCACCUGUCCCCCAGUGAUGGGCUACUGCUGACUUGUCCUGGCUGGGCAGUCUGGUACAUUUUUAAGAACUUUACAAGCCAGUUGUUAAACAUAGUUAUCAUUUCCAAAUGAAAUGAUCUGAGCUUUCAAUUAAAUAAUUUAAAGACAAAGGUAAUAAAUACUCUACAUUUAUGUAAUCACUUCCCAACUAUAUUGUUUCCUGUGCUCUUGACGUGAUGAGUAUGGUGUCUGUAUAGCUGAAAACCAUAUAUGGUUUACUACUGCAGUCUCUUCCCAACUCUUGAGUUCAAUGCUUUUGGGUUGGAAGAUUUGCCCUGGUGGGAACAGUUACACUUUUGUAAUUAGCAAAUGCUGUAUAAUCAGGGCUGACUUACUGUUUUGUUGAUGGGCCUAUACUUCAGAAAGUGAUGUAAGAAAGAAAUUGUUAGUAAUGCAGAUUAAACUUUAAAAGCAUACCAUGCCUGAGCCAUUAUCUUGUGAAUAACAAAUCAAGGAGGGCUGGGGUUGUGGCUCAGUGGUAGAGUACUUGCCUAGUACGUGUGAGGUACUGGGUUCAAUCUUCAGCACCACAUAUAAAUAAAUAAACAAAAUAAAGGCAGUGUCCAUCUGUAACUAAAAAAUUUUUUUAACAAUCAAGGAAAUAUUUUUCUAGCACUUGAAAAGUAUGACCUGAUUUAGCAAAGAAGUUGUUCAUGUCAUUGACAAAUGAGUCAAGUUCUGACUGCAUACUGCUCAAGCCAAACAAGGUUUCCAUUUAAUAAACACAAUUAGUGUGAAGAGGAGAAAUGGUUUGCCAGCAGAUCACACAUCAGAUUUACGGACAAUGAAUUUAAAAGGAAAAAAGUUAGCCAAUUACGCAAGUCCAUUUGUCAAAUCAUGUCUGACUAUAAGAGUUUGACCAAAAGCAAUGAACAAUAUCCGUGAGAAUCAGUUAGCUACACAGAAUUUACAAUGUGGAGUAUUGUAAAUGGUGUGCUCCACAUCCUUUCUACCAGUAAAAUUUGUAGGAAACACUCUUAUGUAUAUAUGUACACAAAUGCUUUUCUAGAGAGAGUUGUGAAAUACUUAUCAACAUACACCACUGCCCACUCCCCGUCCUAGAGGGGACUGACUUCCUGGUCCUCUUGCAGUUGGGUGUGGCCACGUGAUGAGUCCAGUCCAGUGAUAUGUGGUAGGAAAGAUAUCAGCCACAUUCAGGGCUGGCCUUCAAAUAUUGCUCAUGAGACCCUCUCAAUCUCUUCCUUCCUUGCUGCAGGGACACUGGGGACCCCAAUGUCUUAGUCUGUUAUGUGCUACUGUAAUAGGACACCAUAGCCUGGUUAAUUUAUAACUAAUAGGAGUUUGUUUAGCUUGCAGUUUCAGAUGCUGAGAAGUCCAAGAUCAAGGGGCUACAUUUCCUGCUGUGUCAUAACAUGGUGGAAAUGUCACAUGGCCAAAGAAUGUGUAAGAGCAGGCAAAAGGGGUUGAAGUCUUUAUAACAAAACCAGUCAUAAUAUGACAUUAAUCCAUUUGUGAGGGUGGAGCCCUGUGACCUCAUCACCUACCAUUAGGCCCCGCCUCCCAACCCUAUUGAACUGGGGAUGAUGUUUCCAACACAUGAAUUUAGGGGGACAUUCUAGCCAUGGGCUCUUGCUAAUGAAGCCACCUGAUGGAGAAGAGAUGCCUGCCCUGAAUAGUGGCUAUGAGUAAAAUAAACUUUUAUUUAUUUAAGCCACUGAGAUCACAGGUCUAUCUAUUACCACAGAGUGGCCUCGUCUAUCCUGCUAGUCCAAGGAGGAGCCAGAGAUGGGAGGCAAUCUGGGCCAGGAUCCAGCCCAUCUUCAUUCCCAGUCCUCCCUCCUACACACUUUCAGAAAUAUGGAAUAAAGUCUGAAUCCAAGGUGGGUUUUGUUUAAGGCCCCAUUUCAGAGGAUAUCUCACAGGGCCCAUUCCUGGCCAUGCCUCUAAACGCAACCACCUCCAGCGGGAGGCCACCCACCAAAGUCUGUCAUUAGAGGGCCAGCCAGGGUGGCUGGUGGCUGGGAUUCAGCCUCCCAUUAAGUGUUAUUAGCCUGGCCCACAAGCACCCCUCUGGCCCUGUCAUUUACUGCUUCCCUCUGUACUUAAUCUGGACCAGAUCUGGGACUUGGACAGACAGAGAACCAGCUUGGGAAAUGAUGUUUUUAGGGCACAGAACUUAGGUCCCAAAUGCCAAGCCACACAAACCAGGCUCCCUGCUCUCAGCUGCAGAAGCUUCAGCUCAGCUCCACUAACCUUUGCUGUGUGCGGAUGGUGAGGCAGGCACGAGGGUGUUCCGGGCAGCGCAGUAGGCCUCGGGUAGACACUGCGUAGUACUGUGGGAUAGGCGUAGUAUUUUCUUCUUGUUCCUUCCUGCCCUGAAAGCCUGGCUAUUCUCCCUGGCUUUGAUUGCAAACCAGGACGUUGAAACCCAUGAGGUUGAAGUCACAGAGCCCCGAGUGGUGGGGUGACUUGAGGCGUGAGUCGGUGCAUUCCUGACUCCUGAUUCCGUGGUGGUGACCCUGGCCUCCACUUCCUCGGCCCCACCUGUUCUCUCCCGGUCAGGAGUUCCACCCAUGACCUGUGCUUACCCUCUCCCUGCAGUGCUACUCUUGCCUUGUUGUCUAGGUGCACCACCAGGAAGAGCUCCAGAGUAGGCUCUGGCUUUGUUUUGCUCGGAUUUCACUGUGUCCUCCGUGUAUAGAAUGGUGCCCAAGUGUUUGCUAAAUGACUAUUAUAGAAGUGUGGGGUCUGUGUGGGCAGGGCCUGUGCUUCUCCCUCUAGGGCUCCCGCCUGGCUCAGUAUUUUAGCUGGUGCCUGUGGAGAUGGACAGCCCUCAACCACCCUCUUCUCCCAACCAGCAUUUCCUCCUGACCUGCCCUGGGUCUGCGCACGCUGUGCCCUCUGCUCAAACACACCCUCUCGCCUUUUGGUUCCUUUGGCUCCUGCUUGUCUUCAAGUCUCAACUAAGCCCUCUUCUCUGACCUCUGUCCUGGAGCCCCCCCCCUCCCCAUAUUAUCCCUUUCACAUAGGGUCAUACCUUCUCAAAAUCAGUGGGUCUACCUGGCUUCUUGCAUUAAUGCAGGCUUGGGAAGGGUGAGACCUGAAUGUCCUGCUCACAAUUGUGUCUUCAGUCACCAGGAUGGCACAGAUUAGGUGCUCAAGUGCCUGUAGGAUGAAUCCAUGAAGGGCUGACCACUGUUGAUCCCUCAAGGAAGACCCAGAAGUCAUGUACCAAGGAUGCAGGAAGUGCGGGCUGGCUCUAGUCUGGUCCAGGGUCCCCACUGAUCAUCUCCCUGACAUGCUCAGGACAAAGAAAGCAGCCCUGUCUACUCUUUCCCCCUCAAACCAGACUAUCUUCUUUUUGUCCCCCUCAAACCAGACUAUCUUCUUUCUAAAUUUAUGAGAGGAACAUAUACUUAUUGUAAGACUUCUGAGCUAUUCUUAUUCACUAUCUUGGCCACCUACUAUGUGCCAGAUGCCCCACUAGGUACUGGGGGUGCAAAGAUAGUAUAGCAGCGGAUCUACACCCAUUCUGCACCUGAGGGUAGUUCUCCUGCUGUACACCUUAGAAGAGGGCUCUGCUUUCUGUGUGCUGGCCCCAUGUGUCAGAAUCACACCAAGGGCUCCCACCUCCAGAGGCUUCAACCCAUUAGAUCUCAGUGAGUCUGAUCAUUUGCUUCUCUAACAAAUUCUCCCAUGAUGUUUACUCUGCCAGCAGUAAAUAUGAUCGAGAACCAUUGCCUAGACUACAUGAGCCUUACAGUUGUCACAGGUUUUACACGUCUGUGCUCAUUCAGUCUUUUGACAUCUCUCACCUGGGUAAGACACAUGACCAGUGAGAGCUGAGGUGGAACCGAGUUUGGGUCUUCCUACGAGACUGCCCUCUCUUAGCACCAGGUGGCAUAGAGUUCUAGGAAAGCCUGCAAGGGUCUAACUAGAAGAGGCUGUGGAGAAUCCAGGGUGACAUUCUGGGAGUUAGGAUGGUGGAGUCUGCUUUUCCCUUCUGGAAAGAGCCCUGGCUUGGGGCAGGAUGGUCUGGGAGAGAGUGACUUGGGGGCAAAGAAGGGUCAGAUGGCACUGGGAAGGAAGGGCACUGCAGCUCUGGAGGGCCUUCUGCCCCAUGGUGGGGGCUGGGUCAUCCCUUCUACUUUGAAGACUCUGGCUGAAAGGGCACACCUCUAAGAGGUCAGAGUGGCCUCCGUUCAGCCCCAGACUUGCCUUCCUCUGCACAGAAUGUGCCGUGUAUGGUAGCACGUCAGGGGCAGCACCCUGCCAGCCCAGCAACUCAGACAAGCACUUCCUUCCUGUCAGCCCCAGGCGGCCCAGGGGCUUUGGCAGGACAAUCCCCCAGUGUUCUUGUUGGGCCUGGCUGAGUGGUGCUACCUCCUCAGGAGGAGGCCUGGGAGGGAGGUGCAGAGAGAGACCAGCUCUGGGAAGAGCUGUGUCCUCCACAGGCAAGGACAGGAGACGUGGGGAAGUGUGAGCUCAGAUGGACAGCUUCCUGUGAUGCUGUGUUUCUGAGCAGGAAGCCAGAACCCUGGAGAAGGAAAAUAAACCUGGACACAUAUUUUUAGAAAGUGGGCAAACCCUGUUGCUCAGCAUGCGGUGGAACUGAAAUCUAAAUCCGGCUUUCUGUGUCUCUAAGCAGAAGGCCGGGACCCACUGGCUCCAUGCAGGAAUGAGACCUUCAGGGGAUGCGAGAGUGAACUGCCACUCCUGCUACUGCAGGAAAUCCCAAGCGGUGAUGGAGGUAUGAGCCAGGCUCCCGCUAGGUGCUCCACAUGUGCAACCCCAUUUAGGCCUCACCAGGACCCUGAAAGGUAAGCACAGCUCACCCCGCAUUUUCAGGUGAAGGAAGAGAGGCUCAGAGAAGGCAAGACCCUCAGAGAAGGUAAUCACAGGCAGGGAUGUGACAGAGCCUGUUCUAUGCCAACCUCAGCAGAUGGCAGUACUUGGAGGGUCACACACAGACUGGUCACUGAGCACAAUUGCUCUCCCAGAGCACAGCAGGUCUCUGCCUCCCGAUGGUGGGAGUUCAGGCUCACACACACAGCUCCUUCCAUGCCAAGCGGUCGAAAUGCCAGGCAGUUCUCUGUAUUGAACUCAAACCCCUCUCCUUGUAACCUCACAGAAUUAUCGAGCACAACAGCCCUUUAAGCCUUGCCAAUCCUCCACAUUCAUUUCUAGGUUUAGCCUCUUUCCAGCCAUCUCUUCUCCACUCCCCAGAAAGUGUUCCAGGUUUCUAUGUGGAAUCUGAGAUCCAGCAGAGUUGCUUUCUAAGGAGCAAAAUAAAUCAGGGAGAUCUAAUGUUUAGAAAAGGCAAAGUCAAGAUAGUAUGAGACAGAUAGAUGAUUGAGCUGAGAAAACAUUUUGAUAUCAAAGGAAAAAUUGUUUGGAUUUUUUUGUCCAUUAUGACCUAUAUCAGCUCUGAUGCUAAUUAUUCUUAGAAAGAAUCUACAGAAAUUAAUUUAAACAUUAGUAACAUUACUGGACCACGAGUUGAACCUCUCAAGGCAAGGUAGAUGCUCCACUGAGAGUAGACACAUUCCAGCAGAAUUGAGCAAAAACGUAAGCGGUGUGGCUUCCAAAUACUGGCAGAAUUAUAAUUAUUUAUGACAGGAUAGGAGGGGCACUGCCAGUGUACACUGCAGUCGUGUCAUAAUGGAUCUAGUGUUAGGAACUUAAAAUGACAUACCUCCUCAUCCCAGCUCCUUCCCAGAGCCAGGUUGCCCCUGGGUGGAGACCCAGGCUGAGGCAGGCUACUUGGUUGGAGUCAGGUCUGUGGACUUUCCAUGGAGGCCUGGUUGUCUUUCCAGUAACAGCCACGACUUCAAAGGGCUGCCAAGGAGCAGAUUGGGCAAUCCCCGGCCAGCCCAGGGUAGCUGUGUUGUGCGUAGGAGCCCUGCAUGCAGGGGUGUUGGAAACUGGCAAUUCCAGGUUCCAGAACCAAGUCCUGAGGGGAGGGAGGGAGACAGAUGGAGCCAAAGGACCUGCCUUGAACUGGAUCCCCCACGGCAAGAGGUUGCAGGCUCUGGGCUCAGGGAGCUCUGGCCCUGCCACAGGCCUGCUCAGGCCUGGCACACACCCGCCUCCUUUCCUCUUCAAAGAUGCCACUCCACCCACUGCAGGGCUCUUUCCUGGCUUCAAAAUGUCACAAUCUCCAUCUGUCUUUUCUUAUCCCUAUAGACCAGUCCCUCAUCCCUAAUAGUGGAAAUAACUACACAUCAGGUAACACCGUGGGAGGCAAGAAAAGCUCUGUAGAAGAGAAACAAGGUGGCAAAGCACCCUUCCUCUUCUUGAUGACACCAAGGAGACUCAGCCCCCUCCACACUCAGGAGGAGAGAAGGCUGGGAGGCAAUGGCCCUGCUCAGCUUAGGUAGCAUCAGUGAAGGGGCCGGAAACAGGGAGUCUGCGGCCUAGUCAACCAGUGUGAUGGAAGCGAUGGUCCCCAGAGGCCCUUUUGAAGACAAGCUACCUGUGAGUGUGAGCACCAUGUAGUCCCACUGGCAGGUGGUCACAGGAAUGGAGAUGAUGGCCAGCUGCUGCUCUCAGCAUCCACCACAUGUGAGGGACACAAGGGUUUGCUGAACAAGAGGAUGUUGUCAUAGUCUAUACCACUUGGCUCACCUCCCAGCUUCAAAAAUGAAGAAAACAAGUGUCAAACCAGAUGUGGUAGACAGGCCUGUAAUCCCAGUGACUCAGGAGGCUGAGGCAGGAGGGUCACAAGUUCAA
rnacentral:lncRNA from 1 species